UACGUAGGCAGCGAGCGUUGUUCGGAAUUACUGGGCGUAAAGAGUGUGUAGGCGGUGCUCUAAGUUCGGUGUGAAAUCUCCUGGCUCAACUGGGAGGGUGCGCCGGAAACUGGAGUGCUUGAGCGUGGGAGAGGAAAGCGGAAUUCCUGGUGUAACGGUGAAAUGCGUAGAUAUCAGGAGGAACACCUGUGGUGUAGACGGCUUUCUGGACCAUAGCUGACGCUGAGACACGAAAGCGUGGGUAGCAAACAGG
rnacentral:rRNA from 1 species